rnacentral:rRNA from 2 species
UGCAGUCGAGCGGCAGCACAGAGAAACUUGUUUCUCGGGUGGCGAGCGGCGGACGGGUGAGUAAUGCCUGGGAAAUUGCCCUGAUGUGGGGGAUAACCAUUGGAAACGAUGGCUAAUACCGCAUGAUGCCUACGGGCCAAAGAGGGGGACCUUCGGGCCUCUCGCGUCAGGAUAUGCCCAGGUGGGAUUAGCUAGUUGGUGAGGUAAGGGCUCACCAAGGCGACGAUCCCUAGCUGGUCUGAGAGGAUGAUCAGCCACACUGGAACUGAGACACGGUCCAGACUCCUACGGGAGGCAGCAGUGGGGAAUAUUGCACAAUGGGCGCAAGCCUGAUGCAGCCAUGCCGCGUGUGUGAAGAAGGCCUUCGGGUUGUAAAGCACUUUCAGUUGUGAGGAAGGUGGUGUUGUGAAUAGCAGCAUCAUUUGACGUUAGCAACAGAAGAAGCACCGGCUAACUCCGUGCCAGCAGCCGCGGUAAUACGGAGGGUGCGAGCGUUAAUCGGAAUUACUGGGCGUAGAGCGCAUGCAGGUGGUUUGUUAAGUCAGAUGUGAAAGCCCCGGGCUCAACCUGGGAAUUGCAUUUGAGACUGGCAAACUAGAGUACUGUAGAGGGGGGUAGAAUUUCAGGUGUAGCGGUGAAAUGCGUAGAGAUCUGAAGGGAUACCGGUGGCGAAGGCGGCCCCCUGGACAGAUACUGACACUCAGAUGCGAAAGCGUGGGGGAGCAAACAGGAUUAGAUACCCUGGUAGUCC